ensembl:processed_transcript uncharacterized LOC115062509
CUCUUUGUGCGCCCGCCUGCUCUCAUAUCUGUCCGUUUCCACUUCGCUGCUCUCCACCGGUCUCGGCGUGGUCUGUGGAUUCCGGAGAGCAAGGCAUGCGUCGGCUUCGUGCCGCAGGUUCCUGGCCCACGCCAGCCGGACCCAGUAGCAUAAUGGGGUUUGAGAACAUACGCUGGCUGCCUACGCUUGAAGAAAGGUUAGUAUUAGGAUCCACUAGCAUGCUUGCCCCUUGCUUGACUUUUUGGAAGGGGAGGACAGGUUUCUCCAUGUAGCCCUGCUUGCCCUCCUCUCAGACCCCCCUACCUCUACUUUCUGGAAUUAAAGGCAUGCAGCACCACCCACCAGCCCUUGCUUUGUUCUUAAAGUAGUGCCUCCAUUAGCCAGUCUCUAAGCAAGCCACCACCCAGCCAUCUUUCUUUAGAUCGCAACUAAUCUUCCUAACUCUAAAUCUGUGGUGGGUCCACGAGCUGCCUUGAUCAUUUCCUUGUGCCUUUAAUUUUUGAAUGCUAGUAAAGAUUACUCCAUGGCAGUGGUUCUCAGCCUUCCUGAGAACCUUUAAUGCAGUCGUGAUGUUCCUAACAAUUGUAUUUUCCUUGCAUCUUCAUAACUAAUGUUUGCUAUUGCGAUA